rnacentral:rRNA from 1 species
GACGAACGCUGGCGGCGUGCUUAACACAUGCAAGUCGAACGGAAAGGCCCUGCUUUUGUGGGGUGCUCGAGUGGCGAACGGGUGCGUAACACGUGAGUAACCUGCCCUUGACUUUGGGAUAACUUCAGGAAACUGGGGCUAAUACCGGAUAGGAGCUCCUGCUGCAUGGUGGGGGUUGGAAAUUUUCGGCGGUUGGGGAUGGACUCGCGGCUUAUCGGCUUGUUGGUGGGGGAGGGGUUUACCCAGGCUUUGAAGGGUAGCCGGCAUUGGAGGGUGGCCGGCCACAUUGGGACUGAGGUAGGGCCCAGACUCCUACGGGAGGCAGCAGUGGGGAAUAUUGCACAAUGGGCGGAAGCCGGAGGCAGCAACGCCGGGUGCGGGAUGACGGCCUUCGGGUUGUAAACCGCUCUCGCCUGUGACGAAGCGUGAGUGACGGUAAUGGGUAAAGAAGCACCGGCUAACUACGUG